rnacentral:rRNA from 1 species
AGGAUUAACGCUGGCGGCGUGCAUGAAACAUGCAAGUCGAGCGCGGCGCGUGGCUUCGGUCACGCGUCUAGCGGCGCACGGGUGAGUAACACGUGAGCAACCUACCUUCGAGUUCGGGAUAGCCCUGGGAAACCAGGAUUAAUACCGGAUGUGGUCACAACGGGACAUCCCGAUGUGAAAAAAGGCGCAAGCCGCUCGAUGACGGGCUCGCGGCCUAUUAGCUUGUUGGUGGGGUAACGGCCUACCAAGGCGACGAUGGGUAGCUGGUCUGAGAGGACGAUCAGCCACACUGGGACUGAGACACGGCCCAGACUCCUACGGGAGGCAGCAGUUAGGAAUUUUCCGCAAUGGGCGAAAGCCUGACGGAGCAACGCCGCGUGUGUGAUGAAGGCCUUCGGGUUGUAAGCACUGUCGGAGGGAAGAAUGAAUGACGGUACCUCCAAGAAGCCCGGCUAACUACGUGCCAGCAGCCGCGGU